CAGUAGCCGCGGUAAUACGUAGGUCCCGAGCGUUGUCCGGAUUUAUUGGGCGUAAAGCGAGCGCAGGCGGUUUGAUAAGUCUGAAGUUAAAGGCUGUGGCUCAACCAUAGUUCGCUUUGGAAACUGUCAAACUUGAGUGCAGAAGGGGAGAGUGGAAUUCCAUGUGUAGCGGUGAAAUGCGUAGAUAUAUGGAGGAACACCGGUGGCGAAAGCGGCUCUCUGGUCUGUAACUGACGCUGAGGCUCGAAAGCGUGGGGAGCGAACAGGAUUAGAUACCCGUGUAGUCCCUGUCUCUUAUACA
rnacentral:rRNA from 1 species